GUGUGUCUGACUGUGUGUGUGUCUGACUGUGUGUGUUUGUGUGUCAGACACACACACACACACAGUCAGACACACACACAGUCAG
rnacentral:miRNA from 1 species